UUUACCUCCAUUGUUCCACCAAUUAAGUGGAUUUAAUGUUUGCCAGUUCCAAAACCAAGCUGUGGUUGUAUCAAACAUUGACAAUAUGCUGACAAGUGUCACAAACAACAACGAUUUCAUCUUUGAUAUUAAAGUGUUCUAAAAUAAUAUCGAGAGACGUUAUGAGUUAAUUGCUCAUGGAUGAUUCUGUAGAAGGCCAGAGGUAAAAGACAGAAUGAUGUUGAUCAAGGUCUACAGAUUGUCCAAAUACGAAGAACAAACAAAAGCAAUUAAUUAAGCAAUGUGAUGUACUGCAGUAGAACAAACAACAGCAAAUUAAGCAAUGGAUCGGAUUUGCAAAAUGGCGUCGAU